rnacentral:rRNA from 1 species
UCCUACGGGGGGCAGCAGUAGGGAAUAUUGCUCAAUGGGGGAAACCCUGAAGCAGCAACGCCGCGUGGAGGAUGACGGUUUUCUGAUUUUAAACUCCUUUUGUUAGAGAAGAUAAUGACGGUAUCUAACGAAUAAGCACCGUCUAACUCCGUGCCAGCAGCCGCGGUAAUACGGCGGGUGCAGGCGUUACUCGGAAUCACUGGGCGUAAUGAGCGCGUAGUCGGUAUAGCAAGUCCGAUGUGAAAUCCUCUGGCUUAACC